CCGGGAGGCAGCAGUGGGGAAUAUUGCACAAUGGGCGAAAGCCUGAUGCAGCGACGCCGCGUGAGGGAUGACGGCCUUCGGGUUGUAAACCUCUUUCAGCAGGGAAGAAGCGCAAGUGACGGUACCUGCAGAAGAAGCACCGGCUAACUACGUGCCAGCAGCCGCGGUAAUACGUAGGGUGCGAGCGUUGUCCGGAAUUAUUGGGCGUAAAGAGCUCGUAGGCGGCCUGUCGCGUCGGAUGUGAAAGCCCGGGGCUUAACCCCGGGUCUGCAUUCGAUACGGGCAGGCUGGAGUGUGGUAGGGGAGAUCGGAAUUCCUGGUGUAGCGGUGAAAUGCGCAGAUAUCAGGAGGAACACCGGUGGCGAAGGCGGAUCUCUGGGCCAUUACUGACGCUGAGGAGCGAAAGCGUGGGGAGCGAACAGGAUUAGAUACCCUGGUAGUCCACGCCGUAAACGUUGGGAACUAGGUGUUGGCGACAUUCCACGUCGUCGGUGCCGCAGGCUUCCCACAUUAAGUCCCCGCCGGGGAGACGGCGCAAGGAU
rnacentral:rRNA from 1 species